GCGUCAGCAGCCGUGAUCCUUUUUCUCAUCUCUGCUUUUUCUGGACGCUCCCCAGCCACAGCUCCUCAUCGCCUCCUUUCGCUUUCCCCUUCCCCACGAAAGAAACAGAGAGGGUUUCCCUGGAAACGAUGGCGCCGCCGUGUGAAGAUCGCCGUCGCCCCGUCAACUCCAGACGCCCCGAGGAAUACCAAGGCCAUCAUGAACUUCUCCUUGCCACGCUGAACACCCUCGACCGAAGAAAUCGCUGAUUCGAGCUCGGAAUCGACGUCAACAACCUCGUCUCUUCUCCGAGUCCGGCGACGAAUUCGUUGUUCCGUCGCCGUUCGAACUCCUCCGCUUCCACCGACGUGCUCUUCGGUUUGACGGUGUCCGGCGCCGGCUCUCUCCGGUGACCUCCUGGUGGUGGCGCCGCCUCUCCUUGAAUCCCUGCAGCGAGGCGCACCUCCUGUGCCUGCUUCCCUGUCCCAGCCUGCUCCCGUCCACCGGUCCCGUGCUCGAUCGGAACCUGCUGCCACGGUGCUCCGUCGAGCUCUGCUUUCCAUCUUCAUCUUCCCUGACGGCUACCGGCGCUCACACGACAGUUCGGCCACCUUCGGCUUCUGCCUGCUUCAACGAGCACAUCAACAAGCCUGGCAUUUGCUUCUUCCCGGAUAGGAUUGCGAAGUGGUGAUGUGAGAUACGAC